UUCCGUCACUAGUCAGGUGAUAUGAGCGCGCACGCGCAUUAAAAAUCUUCGUGUUCCUCACUAACGUACUGUUUAUUUCUGUUUUAUUUAUGUCAUAAACUAUUUUGCUCGUGUUAUAUACAAUGGAUGUGAGCUGAUGAGACACAAGCACUUGGCUAAGGACCAGGCUCCUGACCUGUUCUCUCUGGAGCUGGCUGGUAUGGAGGAGCUCGCCCGGCGCUACGGCACGGACUCCCCCCAGUUCCAGGACGCCUGAGAGAUUCUGGUAGCAGCGCUGCAGAAGUUCGCCGAUGACGUCUUCGGCGUUUACGCCAGCAGCGCGGUGGUGGAGGUGGUGACGGUGAAGACGUUCGAGACGCCGCUGACCAGGAAGUCGUGCUCCAUCCUGGAGGCUAAGCAGAUUAGUAACCCGGGAAGCCCCUACAACCUGGCCUACAAGUACAACUUUGAAUACGCCGUCGUGUUCAACAUCGUGCUGUGGCUCAUGAUCGUUUUGGCUCUCGCUGUCAUCGUCAUCUCGUACAACCUGUGGAACAUGGACCCGGGCUACGACAGCAUCAUCUACAGGAUGACCAAUGAGAAGAUCCGCAUGGACUAACCGUGCAUUCCAUCGCAGUGUUGUUGUGUGUGUGUGUGUGUGUGUGUGUGUGUGUGUACACAGGUUUCUCACUUCCAUUCAUCCCAUACGUCAAGUGUUUUGUGUGUGUAUAUAUAGCUCUAAAAUGUCAGUUUGUGAAUAUUUAUUGAUGCCUGCUAUUUUGUUGAAAAUCUAAAUGAAUACAUAUAUAAUAUACACACAGCGGAUGAAUGAAUUCGAACGAAAUCGCGCUCACGUGUGGUGUGGUGUUGUGUUCCUGAUCUAGCUACAUGUUGAAUCAGCUGUAUUUAUUAUUGUUUUGUUUUUUUAUUCCUGAUACACUGGACCAUGAUGUCUGAUACUGCUGUGAUGGGGGUGGGGUGAUGCACAAAAAUUGCAUGCAGUAAAACUUCACCUAGGUGUGAUGUUAAAACUAGGAGAUCGUUGGCGUGGUUUUAUUUGGAAAAGUCAAAGACAGUUGGUUAAAAAAAUGUUAGAAAUAUAAUUGUUUGAUCUGACACGCAGCGAUUGAAGGGCAAAAUGGUAGAUGUGAUAUUUUUAACUUGGUUUAACCUCAACUCUCCAUCACCCGGUACGUUCACCUGAAACUUCUUGUCCUCCGACCAUAACGUGAACUUUAGCCGAAUUGUUUUACCGACAAGUGUAGAGGUGCAAAGUUCAUUUGUUACCAAAUAAAGACUUCUGAUACGG